rnacentral:lncRNA from 1 species
UGAUUGUUAAUUUUAUUAAUAAUUUAGACUUAAAAUUAAUCAUAAAGUAGUUGCAAACUUGACUAGUCAUAGGACGGCCGAACUACUUUAAGGGCGUGAAAUAAUGGCCGAACGCGAACGAGCCACGUUCACAGAAGAAGUGUUGAUCGUGUCAAAUAGCGAUUAAAUGCCUAAUCGAGGAGAUUCCGUGAUGAAAAUGGCUGGACGACAUCUUGGAAGAGUGACUUUUAUUUAAAAAAAAACUCCGUUAAAUAGGAGGACGCAUGCUCAGCGGAUAUUUUAUUCGAACUAUAAAUGCUCAUGCGCUUUUCUUCUUUUUCAUAAAUUCUAUUAUUAUUUGAAUGUACCCUUGGUAUUGCGGAGAGCGUGGUGAGUUGGCUCGACUUGAAUCUUGAUGACAUCGUGGGUCGACGUUUCAUCGGCGUUCGUAGUUACCUUUUCGGAGGGUUCCUUCAAAACUGCAAGUGUUUCACUUGGCGACAUAACGUCUCACGAUUUUCGCAAAAUAGAGAGAAAAAAACGAUUCCGAAACGAAAAUGACGUCGCGGAGGGUCGAAAAAAUAAAAAAGGAACCUGAAGUCGGAUUGGAAGACUGAGAAACUAGCAAUUUAAUGCCCGAGUCUAGUUUCGAGAAGGACAAUCGAGACGAGGGAAAUCAGGGAGAAAAAAACGGUGAAAAAACUGCUUCCGAGUGUAAUUAAGGGAGAGAAUCGCUCGAAGGAAUCGACUGUGGCGGCCAAUCGACGGCGCACAAACGGACAAUAACGUCGUUGUACAAGAAGCUCUUUCACGAGAUAAAUAUUGACGUAGUGCCAGAGUAAAAAUCUCCACGAUCCGGCUUGUAAGUGGUUUUUGCUUGGCGUGAAUGACGCCGUAUUUUUCUGUUCCCGGUUUUUUAUAAUGGAAAACCCUCGAGAGGCCUCCAAUCUCAACGUUUUUGUAAUGGCAUAAUUGUUCUUCGGAUGAGUCGCAGUCACAACGAAAUGAUAAAUCACCAUCAUCGUGGGAAUCGUGAGUUUUGAAACAACGACAAAAAAAAAAUAGAAAAAAGCCGCAAGUUUUUUUGGUUCGACAUUACUUCGAUUAUUUUUUUUUUUUCGUUUCCUGUACUUUGCCCUGCCCGUGAGGCGAAGGUAACAUCCCGAAUAGAACGAGGUUUUAAUCGUCGAGCCAAGGCUCGGUCAGUCAAGCGACGAUGGCUUUCAAGUCCCACAAGCACAUCUACCAAUAUCAGCCGAUCUCGACGUCCAACGUGUUUUUUCAUCAUCGUGACUUACAGUCAAUGCCUGAAUGACGGAUUUGGAGUUAUUAUGAAACACUCGCGGGAGCGGAUCGAGGCAGGGAUUACUUUAUACCCAAAAUCGUGAAUAAAAAGCGAUCGCGCAGAUUCCGUCGGAUUUCACUCACGCGAUCUUAAUAACUUUAAGGGGGAAUAUCCGUGUGAAAAAAAAAGCUUGGAUGCAAAAGAGCUUUUGUAUGGUUCAGGAGUAGCAGACUAAUCGAUGCUUGCUGCAGCACUUAUGUUGUCAACCGUCGGGGAGUCUUUUUUUGAGACGCCAUUUCGCGAUCGCGCUUUUCUGCUUAAUAAAAUGUACUAAAAAUAAAAAUAAAAAUAUCUCAUAUACUCCA